rnacentral:rRNA from 1 species
UCGCAAUCUUCUUUAUCGAUUUGAACUCUCAAAAAAAAUUACGCUGUUAUCCCUAAGGUAACUUUUUCUUUUAAUCUAAAUAAUAGGAUCAAAAAAUCAUUAAUUAAUGGUUAAAUAAAAAAAAGUUUAUUAAAUUUUUCUGUCACCCCAACUAAACAAAUUUAUAUCUACAAAAUUUUUAUUCCAAUAAUUUAUUAACAACAAAUUUGUAAAGCUCUAUAGGGUCUUCUUGUCUUCUAUAAUUAUUUAAGCUUUUUCACUUAAAAAUAAAAUUCUAAAAAAAUUUUCUCGAGAGAGCAGGUUUCUCAUCAAUCCCUUCAUUCCAGCUUCUAAUUAAGAAACUAAUUAUUAUGCUACCUUUGCACGGUCAAAAUACCGCGGCCAUUUAAAAUUAAUUCAUUGGGCAGGAGCGACCUUAAAUUAUAAUCAAAAGGAC